UACAGAGGGGGCAAGCGUUAUUCGGAAUUACUGGGCGUAAAGCGCGCGUAGGCGGAUCGCUAAGUCAGGGGUGAAAUCCCAGGGCUCAACCCUGGAACUGCCUUUGAUACUGACGAUCUGGAGAUCGGGAGAGGUUGGUGGAAUUCCGAGUGUAGAGGUGAAAUUCGUAGAUAUUCGGAGGAACACCAGAAGCGAAGGCGGCCAACUGGCCCGAUACUGACGCUGAGGCGCGAAAGCGUGGGGAGCAAACAGG
rnacentral:rRNA from 1 species